AUGGACGAAAGUCUGAUGGAGCAACGCCGCGUGAGCGAUGAAGGCCUUCGGGUCGUAAAGCUCUGUUGUUAGGGAAGAACAAGUACCGGAGUAACUGCCGGUACCUUGACGGUACCUAACCAGAAAGCCACGGCUAACUACGUGCCAGCAGCCGCGGUAAUACGUAGGUGGCAAGCGUUGUCCGGAAUUAUUGGGCGUAAAGCGCGCGCAGGCGGUCCUUUAAGUCUGAUGUGAAAGCCCACGGCUCAACCGUGGAGGGUCAUUGGAAACUGGGGGACUUGAGUGCAGAAGAGGAAAGCGGAAUUCCACGUGUAGCGGUGAAAUGCGUAGAGAUGUGGAGGAACACCAGUGGCGAAGGCGGCUUUCUGGUCUGUAACUGACGCUGAGGCGCGAAAGCGUGGGGAGCAAACAGGAUUAGAUACCCUGGUAGUCCACGCCGUAAACGAUGAGUGCUAAGUGUUAGGGGGUUUCCGCCCCUUAGUGCUGCAGCUAACGCAUU
rnacentral:rRNA from 2 species